UGGGGAAUAUUGCACAAUGGGCGCAAGCCUGAUGCAGCCAUGCCGCGUGUGUGAAGAAGGCCUUCGGGUUGUAAAGCACUUUCAGCGGGGAGGAAGGCGAUAAGGUUAAUAACCUUGUCGAUUGACGUUACCCGCAGAAGAAGCACCGGCUAACUCCGUGCCAGCAGCCGCGGUAAUACGGAGGGUGCAAGCGUUAAUCGGAAUUACUGGGCGUAAAGCGCACGCAGGCGGUCUGUCAAGUCGGAUGUGAAAUCCCCGGGCUCAACCUGGGAACUGCAUUCGAAACUGGCAGGCUAGAGUCUUGUAGAGGGGGGUAGAAUUCCAGGUGUAGCAGUGAAAUGCGUAGAGAUCUGGAGGAAUACCGGUGGCGAAGGCGGCCCCCUGGACAAAGACUGACGCUCAGGUGCGAAAGCGUGGGGAGCAAACAGG
rnacentral:rRNA from 1 species